UCUGAAACAUUACCAAAGCAAAACACCGCCAAUUACCACCAGGCACCAAAACAGUCUCCGUAGCAAAUAGUAAAACGGUUAAAUAUGGAAGUGGUAUCAAAUUGUGCAUCAACGCAAACAAAACAAGCAGUGUCGACUGUUGAUCGUUGAGGGUAGCGCGCGGGUGAAGGUAGGUGUGGGUUAGAGUUAGACUGGAAUCGGUAGUAAGCGAAGAAUAAUAAUGGCACUCAAUCACUAACAAUUUACGUCAACUAAUCGUCGAUGAAGAUUUUGAUUUCGGUUGAUGGACGGUUGGAUCUUGUGUGUCCACUUGCAUUGACGGCCGCCUCCAGCGUGUGCGUAUACAUACCCACUACUCCUAUCUCCGCUAGCUGCUUGGCGCUGGAAAGUGGUGUGGCCACCUCGGAUGUGUUGUUGAACAUCGCGUAAUCCACCUCGUAUCCGCCGGAAUCAGCUUUGAAGGCGACCAGAGGCUGGAAACGAUGACCCCAGAGGAUUUCGGAUGGAUUCAGGUCGUCGUGCAAGUAGCAGAUCAGGUACCAUACUACAGCAAAGGCAAGCCACGAGAGCAGGAAGUUCAUGGAGAACACCAACAGCGUCCAGCGCCAUUGUGCGUCCACCAACGUGGUGAAAAUGUCCUGCAAAUAGCGCCGGCGACGUUUUGCCACGUUGCCCUGGAUCACGUUGCAGUCGCCAUGCUUGAAUACCACACGUUUGCGUAUGCGGCGCGCAUUGAAGCGCGAUUGCCGGUACCUUGAACAAGAACACAACAAUAAACAAAGCAGCUCCGGCGGCCAUCGGCAAACGUAACAUGAACGUAACAAAACAAACGGGUUUCUUUUGAUCUUGUCGGGUCGGGUUCAAACGCAAACGCUCCGCCACAAAGCAAACAAUCAACGCAAAAAAGAAAAACACGAGAGGACAUGCGAGCGGUGGUACAAGGGGAGUCUCCUCAAUGCAUGCGCAACCUGUGCCAUUCAUCUAGCCACGCUUGCUCGGUGGACGUGGUCGCCUUGGCGACCAUGUUGGACAUUUGCGAGAAGCAUCGCCUCAAUCCCGUGCACGAACCCAUCUGCAUCGUCUUAAUCAGCCGGUGACGAGCGCAGCGCGCCGCAGGUCGUCGCUGCUGGGGGCUAAUCAACGCUUAAGCGCCACCCGCAUCGCAGGCGUUAAUUGGAUUUACUCGGUGCGUGAGAGCGGCCGGAUGGCGGCGCGGCGAUGGUCGGACUGACUCUGGUGGUGUCCCCGCGUCCCGCGGGCGCGAAUUGGCAAUGAACGCGCGACGGCGGCGAACGUCGCGGGCUGUUUCGCCGCUCUCGAGUUAUUUUAAUUGCGAUAUUUAGUCGCCACGGCCAAAUUGCGUACUUGUGUAACGGCGUGCGACGACGAGUCGAGCAACUGCCGCGCGACGUCAGCCCGCCGCGAAAAAUAGAAUAACGAUAUUGCUAAACAACCACUCGGCGACCACCAGCCGAAGUCGCACCCGAGCGCCGUGAGAGAUAAUCGCGUGUUAUGGACGGCGACAAGUGAUCAUGGUGAUCAUGACCCACUGCUGCCGCCGCUAUCCUGUUUUCUUCCAAAAACGCCGCCGCAUCUGCCACGUUACGCAAUGCAAGCCAGUCUAGUCUAAAUGCGUAUCACGUGGCAUACAAACGCUAAUGUGCCAUUUGCAUCGCGGGCGCCCGAACGCGAUUCCAUAUCGCUAUUGUCUCACCCAUUGUCUCUAUUUAUGACAUGCAAAAUACGAGCGCCGGCAUGAACUUAACUUGUCGGACUGUUUUGCGCGUUUCGGGAACUCGCGCGCAUAUUUUUGAAUAAACUCACGCGGCACUUUUUAUUACACAACGCAAUUUAGUGUUCGGCCAUAAACACAAUGAAGCCAUAAUAUUUCGUCAAUUUGCCGUACACGCGAAUUACGAGCGCAUUAUGUUUUAUUGUUUAUUUAUACAAAUUCCAAGCGUGCGAACACAAUGUCUUCAAAAAGUGCACAACUUGCGACUUUUACUACAUUUUACCGUACGCCGCGGCGUAAAAAGUGUCAUUGAAUAGGAAUAGGAUUCUAGUUUGUUGGGAAGUAUUCGGUCGGUGGGCGUAGAUAUUAGUUAUACAAACCAAAAUUAAUCGCUGACACCAUUGAAACGAACUGAUAACGAAGCUAAAAUACCAUACCUACUGAAUACGUGCCCCGUCUUGACGCGGCCGUUCUUCGUGAAGUUGAGCGAGCUGAGGAUGCUGCCGCUGGAGCGCCGGCGUGUCUGCAGUCUCGGCACCGGCAGGUUGGAGCGAUUAUUCGCCGCCGCCGCUGCCGCCGCCGGUAGAACGGUCACUCCACCAUUGCCGUUACCAUUACUUAAGAGUUUCUCCUCCGCUUCGGCGGAUUGCUUCAAUCCAGCGUUCGACAUUGCGGCAUCGCAGCGACCACCGAAAUUCUUCCAACGCACCGUGCUGCACGUCAUGCACGCAUCGCGAACUUUAAUGCGCCGAUCGCCAUUGUCCGCCACCCACUGGACGGAACUGUUAUUCGAGCGCAAACGCGCGACUUUUUUAUCGUGCGCUAGUCGCGCGACAGUCCGUGAGCGAUGUGUGCGUGCAAUUCGCGUACUUCAUCGGCCUACUGACUGAUCGAGCGCAAAUCGCGCGCUCCCGACCGCUCGAACUGGAUUAGAUCUGCACGUGCGUGUGCGUCGUAUCCCCUUUUUUCGCGAUGCGCGUCCCGCCAGCGGCGCCGAACUUGAGCCGCUUCCGGUUUUCGCGCGCGCGCGUACGCGGUUUAUUCGCGUGAUAAAGAAAUACGACGACGACGACGACGACGGCGGCGACAGCGGUGGUGUGUGCGGAACUCUGCCGGUGUCACCGUCGGCGACGACUGUGUCGCGUUUCAGGGUCUGCUAUAAAACCGAUUUGUUAUGCAAAUUCCACGCCAUUUGUUUGUCAUCUUCGAUAAGGUUUCGCAAAAAUGUGCUGGAUUGCGACUAAUGUUUGGCGCUUGUAACUCGUAAUAUGCGCUCGAAAUAUGAAGAGCGCGUGUGUUUGGUUCAAUCUCUCACCGCUUAUAGCGCUCCUUUCCGGCGGAAACUAAUGGACACGACGUCACUGGCAGCAGCCACUCCGUUUGCUGCAAGUCGGUGUAGUCAAUCGUCAUAAGUGCAGCUGAAAUUGAAUUUCACUCGGUUUAACUACAGGUGUCAUGCGCGCAAUUUCUUAGUAGUUGUUUUAGCAUUUCGUGUACUAAACACGCAAUUGAGCACUUGACAACCAUAGGUGUGUUUUUUAUACAAAUUGUUUUAAGUACAAUCUACACCUACACAUUGAUAAUACCUUGUGACAAGAUUAACAAUGCUAAUUUGUUUAUGUCACUUCUAAAUUUUCAAUUUAGAAACAUGUUUUGCAAAAAUAAUUAAAAUUUAAACACGCGCUAAUAUUUAUUUACCGAGAUGUACUUAUUUUAAAUACGCAAUGCUAAUAUGUCUUGUUUGGCAACUUAUUUAAAUUUAUUGCAUUUGUAACACCGAACAAGCAAUAUGUGUUUUUAACUGAUUGAAUACCAAAGUGUACUGAACUAAAACCAAUGCAUAAAUUGAA